CUUACAUAACAGUUUUUGACAAAAAGCUCAUUAUAUUUUUAUAGUUUCUAUUUGGCACAAGACCAAAUGACUUUACAGAGUAUGUUAAUCAAUAGAUGUAACAAGGAUUAUUAAAUGUCCUAUUAUGCUUAUGGAUACAAAUUUAUGUUAUUAUUCAGCUUAGGAGCCACAGUUGGUGCACAUUCAAUUUAAAUGAUAUUUUAUCAUUUUUCAGUCAAAUAAAAUAUACGUAGUGAAAAAAAAAUACCUCCUAAAGCUUCCUAAAAGCUAGUUUGCAUCUGGAUAAGGUGUGGAAUUGAAGGCAGAAGCUAGAGAGAGUUGAUGAUUGCAGAAAAGCCAAGACCGUGGCAUUUAUUCAAAACAGUUUUUAAUUGGAAAGUUCAUGGAAUGAAAGAACUAUGGAAACAAAUGAAGUGCACCCAGAUGCGAACAAGAAAAGUAUAUUAAUAAGGAUAUUUAUUCAGAGCUAGCAUAGUAAAGAAGUUAACCGCCAUUAUUUGUGUUUGUCGGAGACUCAAAGGCAGGCAGAGGAGUAGGAAAGCUUUAGAAUGGGAAAAAGGGAAGGCUUCAGGUCUGCCUGAUUGGAGGCUAUUGGUCCGGGGAAGUCGGAAGCCCGAUAAUUGAAAGAAAAGCAUCCUAUGCGGGUGGUUAGGCAGCAUAUUUGUCUUUCUCCAGUUGGUCCCAAGCUGGAAGUGGGGGAAGGGGGCUAAAAAUUAUGAAAGUUGUCCGUUAUUGAUCAGGUCCUGACCAUUUUGGGCUAAUUGCCAUGGAGGCUGUGGUCUUGCUCUGGUUAUUGCAAUUUGUGGCUUAGAAUUCUGUUUCAAUGUAUGGUGUGACUGUAUAUUCAGUCUCUCAGAACUAAAGGCUAGUGAUGUCAUCAAUUAACUAAAAAAGCUGAGCUCUGAGGCAGACAUUAAAGAAAAGUAAGGAAAGUGGACUGGGUAUUUAAAAAAUGAGUAAUAAGAGAAUGGCAGCAGCAAGAGAAAAUUUUUAAAAAUAGAAAUAAAUGUGUGAACCACAGUUUGGGAAUAAGGGUGGAGAUGGGGCAGAAAAAACAGAAGCAAGCAGGCUAACAGUCUUUUUGUAUCUCUCUUCUGAAAGGUGAGAUAUCAAGAAAUAAGAUUCAAUCAAAGACACUUGAAAUUCCCAUAUGCGACACCGAAUUUAUCACAGCAGGCUCAUACAUUUUUCAUUGAGUUAAGAAAUAUUCAAUUAAAUGGAAAUAUCAAACACAUAGGAUAGUCAAUUUAAUGAAAUAUGAAAGCCCUUUGAUAUUUCAGUUGAUAUCUCUUAACAUUGUGAGCCAGUAUUUGUGUAGCAGGGCUCUUCUUUCAAAACUAGAUUAAAUUAUAUGUUUCUCAGGUUGGUCCUGGAGAUCAAAAUGUCUUUAUUCAAGGGCAUGCAGGCAAAAGAACAAGCAUAUCUAUCAUGGAACAUUCAAUAGUCCUUUACUGUCUUAUGCAUCAGAUCUUCUGUCCAAACUUCCCACGGAUUGCUCCAGUCCUGCAGAUCUGGAUCAUUCUCUGUUCCCAAGCCCAUCUGUGUUCUGUUGGCAGCUGAGAGAUUGCAUACUGUAAUCUCUCUCUCUCUGAUGUAUGUCUUCUAAGAAAUCCAAAUAUAAAGAGUAACACAAGUUUAUUAAUUUUACUUUUACUUAUGAAAAGUUGCAAUGUUACAAGUGAUUCUGCAGUUGUGGGAAAUUAAACAUGCACAAGAGGGGCCUCAAAUCAAAGGCCAGGAUGUGGUCCCUAGUUCUUAGCUCCAGUGUGACUCCAACAACCUCCAGUAGAGAUAAAGGCAGCAUCUCACCAUAAUUAUUCAGUUCUACUGUCCACCAAGAGGAGAAUAAAAUAAUUUUUUUCAUUGUUUUUUUCAUUUUAAAAGCAUUCUUUCACUUUUUAAAGCACUUUUGAGGUAAUCCUGGAUCUGCUUUAUAAAUAUUAUGAAUCAUAUAGGCAGUAAAACAAUGAAGAGGGGGAAUUAGCAAUAAGAUUAUGCUAUUUGUUUAAUUUCAUAAUGUAAUGUUUUUCCCCUUAAUUUACUUAAUAUUGGUAAUUAGUAAUGUUGUUUUUAACUUACCUCAUAAAAUAUGGUCUUGGAUUUCAGGACAAUCCUUGGUAUGAGGGAAUAUUUUUCAUUUGUGUCCUCUUCCUUUGUAGGGGUACUCAGGACUUUGAAUGCAUAGGCUCAGUUCUGCUGUGCACUUUCUACACAAAUCCUGACCAAGCCUGAGAUAGGGGAAGACUCUGUUGUUCAAACCUGUAGCCACUGGAUCACAUCAUGUUCAGACAGAGCUCACUGAAAUCAUAGCACAGGCCCUUCCUUGAGAAAGGGCUACUGAUCUACCUCUCCGAGCAACUGCUUGUAAAGACAAACUGAAUUGAAUGGGCAAGUGAUUUUCAAACCAGUUACGGAUAUUACAUAACAGCUUCUCAUGCACAUGGGAGACAGAGUCUCACUCUGUCACCAGGCUGGAGUAUAGUGGCAUGAUCUCGGCUCACAGCAACCUCUGACUAUCUGGUUCAAGAAAUUCUCCUGCCUCAGCCUCCUGAGUAGCUGGGAUUACAGGCACCCACCACCACGCCCAGCUAAUUUUUGUAUUUUUAGUAGAGGCGGGGUUUCACCAUGUUGGCCAGGAUGGUCUGGAUCUCCUGCCCUCGUGAUCCGCCAACCUCGGCCUCCCAAAGUGCUGGAAUUACAGGCAUGAGCCACCGUGCCUGGCCAACAUUUUUGCUUUUUGAAAGACACUGAUGGAAAUGAAAAAAAAUCUACGGAUUAAGAGAAAAUAAUUGCAAAUUAUAUAUUUGAUAAAAGAUUCAUGUUCAGAAUACUUAAAACACUGUCAAAAUUCACUGCUAAGAAACGAGGCAACCCCAUAACAAUUUGGGCAAACAAUUUGAACAUAUAUUUCCAAAAAUAAAAGAUAUGCAUAAUAUAUUAAAACAUAAAAAUGUGUUCAAAUUGUUUUCAUCAAAGAAAUGUAAAAUUGAAACCACAAUGAUAUACCACUGGACAUCACAGUAGUGCUUAAAGUGAAAAAGGCUUAUCAUAAUAAGUGUUAACAAGGAUGUGGAGAGACUGAAACUUUUACAAUUCUGACAGGUAAUGUAAAAUGGUAGAACCACUUUCAGCAACGGUUUGUUGGUAUCUUAAAAAGUUAAACAUGUAGCUAUUAUAUGUUCUAGCCACUCCACUCCUAUACAUUUACCUAAGAUAAAUGAAAAUAUAUGUCUAUUCAAACACUUGUACGUACAUAUUCAUAUCAACUUUAUUUGGAAACAACUCCAAUUUUUAUCACCAGUAAAUGGACAGAAAAUUCUGGGAUAUCCAUGUAAUAUUUUUUAUUCAACAAUAAUAACUAAUGAGUUGGCCAGCAUGGUGUCUCAUGUCUGUAAUCCCAGCAUUUUGGGAGGCCGAGGCAGGCGGAUCACUUAAGGUCAGGAGUUCGAGACUAGCCUGGCCAAAAUGGUGAAACCCCGUCUCUACCAAAAAUAAAAAAAAUUAGCCAGGUGUGGUGGCGCAUGCUUGUAAUCCUGGCUACUUGGGAGGCUGAGGCAGGAGAAUCACUUGAACCCGGGAGGUGGUGGUUGCAGUGAGCCGAGAUCGUGCCACUGCACUCCAGCCUGGGUGACAGAGUGAGACUCUGUCUCAAAACAAACAAAAACCAAAAAAAAACUUAUUAGUUAUUGAUACCCAUACAACAUAGAUGAGUUUCAAAAAUAACUAAGCAGUGUAAAGUAAGUCAGACAAUAAAAAGAGAACAUAUAGUUUGAUUUCAUUCAUAUAAAAUUCUAGAAAAUGCAAACUAACCUAUAGUGACAAAAAGAACACCAGUGGUGAGAGCUGAUGAAGGGAGAGAUGAGAAAGAGAGAUUAUAAAGGGUCAUGAGGUAAGUUUGGAUGUGAUGGAUAUGCUUAUUUCCUGCUCAUAGUUUUCUGGGUGUAUAUAUCUGUCCAAAUUUAUUAAAUUGUACAUUUUAAAGAUAUGCAGUUUAUUUUAUGUCAAUUGUACCUCAAUAUAGUUGUAAGGGAAAACAGCAACGUGGUGGUCUUUGAAUUCCUCACCUUUAAAAUAAGGAAGUCGAACUAUAAUUAUCUCUGAGGACUGAAAUUCUGUGAUUCUGUAAGCAAGAAGGCUAAAGAUGAGGCCCAAAAGGUAGGAGAUUGUACAUACAGUGUUGUUAAUGUCUUGCUGAAACUGCAGAAUAAGAGCAUGUAUUACUAGGUAAUGAGAGUAUUUCCCCUAAAACAAAAUGGAUUCUAGUUUGUGGCUCUUUGGCCUAGGGGUGGGGAAAAUCUUCCUCCUUUUAGUCCUAAUGGUGAUGGCCAGUCAUUCUUAGCUACGUGGAGAUAGGCUGGAAGGGAACAGCAAAACAGACCUACAAGUUCUCAGUGACAAUGACAUUGACUAUAGCUGCUACAAUCAAUGUCAUUGUCACUGAGAACUUGUGUGGAGAUAUGUCAAGAUCCUGAGAUGUGUGACAAUCAGGGCAGUGGUGAGGAAUAUCCUAAGUUCCAGGGGUCAUGUAUGAGUUUUGGAUUUUAUACCAAGGUCGUAGAAUUUCUAGAGAAAUCCUUUUGAAUAGAGAGGAGGUAAAUGGAUCUCUUGAGUCUCAAUCACCAAAGGAAGUGGCACGGCAGCAAUUCAAGAAGGCCAGCAUGGACCUGGCAGACUACGUCCUGAGCACAUGUGAGAAAGUACUUCUUGAAUCAGUGGAUCAGCAGAAAAGAAGAAUUUGGAAAUAUACCUACAUUGACAGCAUUUCUUUAUGUAUCGCAGAUAAAGCAUAUAGUUUAAUAGGUUAGGGCCAAUAAUGCAAUGGUUAGAAGAGUAGACAUGAAUUCCCAGUGCCUUUCUUAACCUUCUUCAGCAUACAUGCAUUAUAAAAUAAUGCAGGGAUUUAAAAAUCAUGUUAUACUCCUGACCCACAUACCACUAUAACCCAUAAUUAUACUGUUUCUGCUCACUUAGCAACUAGCCUAUAUCUUAUAUAUAGUUCAUAGUGCAAGACAGCUUUCAGUGGAAGAUCUUCAGAAAUAUGAUUAAAUACCAUCUUGAUAUUUGGGAAAUUAACAUCAGAUUAUUGUCUUGAAAUAUCACCUAAGAAUUAUUUCAUGUCUUGUGUACUUUGAACCAUACGAAACUGCUGUUUUAAUAGAUCAAAUAUGGUUUAAAAUUAGAAAUUUCAUGAUUCAAAAUCAAAAGGGAAAGAAGGAAGGAGGAAAGGAAAAAGAAAAGUCAGAAUGACAAAGAGAAGGAAAGAGCCAUAGAUGUUAUUUCAAGCCAUCAAUGUGCAUUAAAGAGAUAUUUCUCAAAUGUAGACUAUUAAUAUGAACUGCAAAUACAAUAACUUCAGAUACAUGAUUUACAACUGAUUAAACUUGUUUCAAGUUAUUUUAUAUUAGUUACCACUAUUGUUGGACUUGCUUCCACAGAUCACAUAUUUUGGCAGAGAUAUCAGUUGCUUUUAUUUUAUUCCUUUUUUCUUCUCCUAGAGCCUUCAGAUGAGAUAUAUUAUUACUUAUGGAGAAGAGAAAUAAAAUAGACAUUUUUCUUUGACAUUUUCUAUGAAACUGUAAAUUGGAUUAUACUACAGCUAUUUCAAGAGGUCACUUUACAUGGUUUUUGAAGACAGGAAAAGUGAUUAAUGUUAAGAAGGUCUUGACAUAGGAAUUUAGUGUCCUUGAGCUCUGUAUAAUUACCUUUUCUAAAGCUGCUAACACACUGCAAGCGAUCAAUGACUCAAUAAUGUAAAUUUAUAAAACACAUUGUACACACAUACACACACAUACACACGUAUGUGACCUUCCAGAAGUUGUUCAUGUGUUAGAAAUUAACAUUUUUUGAAGUCUGUAGGUUACCAUGGAAAUCUGCUGUUGAUGCUCACUCCAUUAACACAUUCGUUCCGAGAAAGAAACUAAGUUCUGGUUCCUUUACCAGUGGUGUUAAUAAUACUGUUGUGCUAUCAAAUACUACAUCUUAUUUAUUCUAUCUAACUGUAUUUUUGUAUUCAUUAACCAUCCCCUUUUCCCCCUACACCCACUACACUUCCCAGCCUCUGGUAACCAUCAUUCUACUCUGUAUCUUCAUGAGUUUAAUUAUUUUGAUUUUUAGUUUCCAAAAAUAAAUGAGAACAUGCAACAUUUGUCUUUCUGUUCCUGGCAUAUUACACUUAAUAUAAUAUCCUCCAGCUCCAUCCAUGUUGUUGCAGAUGACAAGAUCUCAUUCUUUUAUGGCUGAAUGGUGUGCCAUUGUAGAUGCAUACUGCAUUUCCUUUAUGUAUUCAUCUGUUGAUGGAUACUCAGGCUGAUUCCAAAUCUUGGCUACUGCGAAUAGUGCUGCAAUAAAAAUGGCAGUACACAUAUCUCUUUGAUACACUGAUUUACUUCUUUUGGGUAUAUAUCCUAGUAGUGGGGUUGCUGGAUCAUGUGGUGGCUCUAUUUUUAGUUUUUUGAGGAAUCUCCAUACUGUUCUCCAUGGUGACUGUACUAAUUUACAUUCCCACCAACAGUGUGCAAGGGUAACAUUUUCUCCACAUCCUCACCAAAAUUCAUAAUUGCCAGUCCUUUGUAUAAUAUAAA
rnacentral:lncRNA from 1 species